rnacentral:misc_RNA from 1 species
AUUCCAAGCACCGCCCGCCCGCGCGCCGUGGCGGCGCUGUGGAAGGAAAACCCUAGAUGAACCACGCCGCCGGGAAGCAGCCAUAUUGCCCUUGUGCUAUAUUUUAACAUAUUAUAUAUAUAAACCCAACGCGCUCUCCUCUCCAUCAGACAGUACUACUACUGUUGGCACAUCUCGAAAUUCCAACAGCGGCACGUACACCACCAUGGCCGGCGGGAAGAGGAGUAAGCUGCUGCAGGGUGCUCCGCCGCCGCCGCCGCCGCCGCAAUGGUCUGACGUCCGUGGCCUGCUCCACAUGCGGUUGACGGACGCCGCCGCGGAGCUCAACGUCUCAAUCACCUACCUCAGGCGCCUCUGCCGCCAGAACGGCUUCGCUCAGUGGCCAGGAAAGAAGAUCCGGUACAUGAACAGUACAGGGAAGAAGGUGAUGCUGGAGGCAGAUGAUGCGCUGCUGGACGCCUCGCCGUCUGCUGGUCUCGCUGGUACUUCCGGGCUCCGGCAGGCCAUGAGCGCGGAAACCCGGAACGAGGAAGAGGACGACGAACCAGUUGCGAAUCAGGAACUCACCACUUUAAACUUGAUAGACAAGGUUGGAUCGUCCUCGUCCCCCAGCCGCAGCGACGGCCGCAGCUAGUUUGCCAGUGCUAGCUUGCUGUCAUCUGUGUGAUGCAAAAUGCAAUACAUGUAGCUGAUCACAGGCUUCAUC